rnacentral:rRNA from 1 species
AGAGUGAACGCUGGCGGCAGGCCUAACACAUGCAAGUCGAGCGGCAGCGCGGGGCAACCUGGCGGCGAGCGGCGGACGGGUGAGGAAUGCAUCGGAAUCUACCCUGUCGUGGGGGAUAACGUAGGGAAACUUACGCUAAUACCGCAUACGACCGAGAGGUGAAAGUGGGGGACCGCAAGGCCUCACGCGAUAGGAUGAGCCGAUGCCGGAUUAGCUAGUUGGUGAGGUAAAGGCUCACCAAGGCGACGAUCCGUAGCUGGUCUGAGAGGAUGAUCAGCCACAUUGGGACUGAGACACGGCCCAAACUCCUACGGGAGGCAGCAGUGGGGAAUAUUGGACAAUGGGCGCAAGCCUGAUCCAGCCAUGCCGCGUGUGUGAAGAAGGCCUUCGGGUUGUAACAGCACUUUUGUUCGGGAAGAAAUCGUGCGGGUUAAU